rnacentral:rRNA from 1 species
GAAGCGAAGCAGUGAUGUGGAGCAAAACUCAAAAAAAUAGUCUCAGUUCGGAUUGAAGGCUGAAAUUCGCCUUCAUGAAGCCGGAAUUGCUAGUAAUGGCAGGUCAGCAUGCUGCGGUGAAUACGUUCCCGGGCCUUGUACACACCGCCCGUCACACCAUGGGAGUCGGUAACACCCGAAGUCGGUAGCCUAACCGUAAGGAGGGCGCCGCCGAAGGUGGGAUUGAUGACUGGGGUGAAGUCGUAACAAGGUAGC